UCGAUCAUACCAGCACUAAUGCACCGGAUUCCAUCAAAACUCUCUAGUUAAGCAUGCUUGGGCGUGAGUAGUUCUAGGAUGGAUAACCCUUGGCAAGUCCUUGUGUUGCACAA